CCCACUCAGUAUCGGAUGAAUAACACAGUUUGAUGUUUUGCUUGUUCUGCUGACGGACACGUUAAAGACGUCUGCGCUCCCGUUUCUGUGCAUGUCCAGCAUGAGACAACUGGAAUUCAACCACAUUGAACACCGACUUCAGGGACAGACGAGCCUGAAGGACACAGCUGUGAUGACCAUGUUCUGUCUCUUAUGGCAAAGCAGAAAUAUAAAACACUGGGUUCUUAUCUAAAGUGUAUCAAAUCAGAUCUCCACCAUGUUGCUGCUGAGGACAUCAGGUGCUGCAGUUCUUCAUCUAUGAAGAGAAAAAACGCACUGUUAAAGAAUGUUUUGUGUUGUGUAUAAAGCACAACAGAUUUCAGAUAGAACUGUUGUACUGUGGUCUUGGUUUAUAUCCUCAUGGUGAAAUGUACAUAUUUUAAGUCCCUUCUGAUAAAAGUGCUGAAAGAAAUACAACAUUGUACAAAUACAUAAAAUGUCUUUCUACCUCAUCAGUACUAUUCAAGGUGAUAAUCUCCCACAGACCUAUUGAUAACAGUCCAAAUCAAGUCUUUCCACUUCUCUCAGUGUGAAAACAUAAUUCUAUAAUUAAUUUGAGAACUGUUUACAACACUGAUGUGUGGAGAUUAAAAUCAUACCUAAACUGUCUAAUUCACUGUAAAACUCCAUGACAUUCGCAGGCCAUCUGUAGUUAAGGGAGCAACGCAUGGAGUGAUGUGUAGAUUACUAGUUUGAUGAUGCAUGAGGAGAGGCGGUGGUCGAGUGGCAGAAACUUGGACUAUGGGCAGAGAAGGUCUCUGGUUCGUCUUUGGUUCGACUCCAUGGAGAGACAACAAAAGUCGAACCUGGAUUGAUCUGUCCAAAAAUCCAAGAGUCUCCCUACCCUCUCUAGUGCCCAUGAGCAAGGCACCUCACUCCCCCAACAUCUGCUCCCCCGAGCGCCGUACAUGGUCGCUCACUGCUCUGUGUGUCCUGCACCAGAUGGGUAAAAAGCAGCGAUUAAAUUUCCCUACCUGCAUGAGUGUGCCUUUGCAUGUCUGUGCAUGUGUUUGGGAUGAAUAAAUGGAUUUUAAUCUUAAUCUUUUAAUCUUAAUCAGUUGUCUUCCAGUUGACCAGCAUGAAGCUGCAGAUCUCCACCAUGUUGCUGCUGGGGACAUCAGGAGCUGCAUUAAUGAGGAGCAGAAGCGUACUGUUAUGAAUGUUUUGUGUUGUUUAUGAAGCACUACUUAUUUCAGCUAGAACCGAUGUACUAGGGUCUGGGUUUGUAUCCUAAUGGUUAAAUGCACAUACUUUAAAUCGCUUUUGAUAAAACGUGACAAAGAAAUACAACAUUGUACACAUAGAUAAAAUGUCUUUCUACCUCAUCUGUAAUAUUCAAGGUGAUGAUCUCCCACAGAGCUGUUGAUAACAGUCCACAUCA